rnacentral:pre_miRNA from 1 species
CAUGGAGUGGGGGAGCCUCUCAGCCUGGAUUAUGAGAGGACACAGGCCAGGCCAAGGGACCCCACUGAUGUACA